rnacentral:rRNA from 1 species
UCGCCUGUUUUACAAAAACAUGUCCUUUUGAUUUUUAUUUAAGGUCUGACCUGCCCUAUGAUUAAUUUAAAUGGCCGCGGUAUACUAACCGUGCAAAGGUAGCAUAGUCACUUGUCUCUUAAUUGGAGGCUUGAAUGAAGGGUUGGACGAGAUAUAAACUUUCUUUUUUGUAUUUGGCUGAAUUUGACUUUUGAGUCAAAAGGCUUAAAUUUAUUUAUAGGACGAGAAGACCCUAUAGAAUUUUAUAUUAAUUUAUUAUCAGGUUAUUUGGUUUAUAAUGUGUCUUUUUUUAUUUUAAUAUUUUGUUGGGGCGACAGGAAGAUUUUUUUAACUCUUUUUUUAUAAAUAACAUUGAUUUAUGUUUUUUUGAUCCUUUUUUAAAGAUUACAAGAUUAAAUUACCUUAGGGAUAACAGCGUAAUUCUUUUGGAGAGUUCUUAUCGAUAAAGGAGUUUGCGACCUCGAUGUGGAUUAAAA